AGCAACAUUGCUGGCUUUAUCUAUGUAACAGAUGUUGACAUUCAGAGAAAGAAGAUAACUUACCUUGUACCAUCCGCUGGAGAUCUUCCAAGCAAGUUUUUGAUACUGGGAUCCUUGACAUGGCUUGAGACAUGACCUAAUUAAUAGUUUUGUGAUAGGAAAAUAUAUAGUGCUGUUGAUAUUUUUUUUAUAUCUUGAUCAGUGAAAUUAUUAGAUGUAUUUUACGACUAUUUUGGGGAGUGCUUAGGAACAAACUUUGUCUUGAGAUUAUUUUGAUUUAUCAAAGCGAUGGUGGAUUGAAGUGGUUAAGAAAAUCA